UAUAUGUAGUCUAAAUAAACUUUGAGUAGUUCAAAUUUACAACCGUAUCAUUUGUAUAACGAAAAUCGCUCUUGCAUUUUGAGCUAUUAUAUUUUGUUUAAUAUAAUGCCUAUAUGUAUACGUUCUUAUCACGAUUCUAAUUCAAACUUUCCAGAAAUUUGAAAGAUUCUCUUUUCGAGUUAUUCCCACGUCACAAGUUUGUGGUUUAAAAACAAAAUUUCGUUUUUAUGCCAUUUGGAUCUUAUGCCAUUUGAGACGUUAUCUCACCAACAUAAUUAUGCUGAUUCAUCUAUAACGUCAGAUUGCACUUUACUACAAUUUUAUUACAUGAGAUUCCUCUGCUCGGUUACAUUUGGCUGUAACACAUUUCUUGUGUUGUAAUUCUAUACCGUUUUCUUCACGCGCUUUAUGUGCUGAAAACAUGACAAGUCACACUCGGUCAUCUCCUGGAGAGAAGAAGAAUUCAAAAGAUGCUCACGCUGAAACGAAUAACAAUUUAUCCGAAACCAAUUACGAGCAUCCGAAAGUUUCGGAUGUUGCGGCAAUCGAUUACCGAUCCGGUCAUUUCAAAAUAAAGAAAAUAGGAGAGAGGUUUCCGCACCGAAAUUUACUCGUUUUUCGGGGUCUGUUAGUGACUAUGUCCUUGCUACUUUUGAUUGGAAUCGCUAUUUUUGGCUUUGUAUCUCUUUCGUUUGAAUUGAACGAAAACUACAGAGAAGCUGCUUCAACGAAAAUUGCAUAGCAGCUGAGAACAUCAGAGCUUCCUAAUUAUAUAUUUUUUGCACUGUGAGUUCUGUCAAUAAUCUGAAGUAUUUAAGUUUGUAAUUUAUGUUCUUUGAAAUUUA